UACGUAGGCAGCAAGCGUUGUUCGGAGUUACUGGGCGUAAAGGGCGUGUAGGCGGUUAUUUAAGUUUGGUGUGAAAUCUCCCGGCUCAACCGGGAGGGUGCGCCGAAUACUGAAUGACUUGGAGUGCGGGAGAGGAAAGUGGAAUUCCUGGUGUAGCGGUGAAAUGCGUAGAUAUCAGGAGGAACACCGGUGGUGUAGACGGCUUUCUGGACCGUAACUGACGCUGAGGCGCGAAAGCCAGGGGAGCAAACGGG
rnacentral:rRNA from 1 species